CUGCCUACAGCCAAGCUUGAAAUCUGUGGGAGAGUUAAGAAUUAAAGCCAGAGUCCCUGCUCACUGCCUGAACUGGAAGACAAUACUGCCUUAUUUCUUUGCAACAGCUGUGAACUUAAGGCCUGUAGCCGGGAGCAUGGGUCCUGUUUCAACCCCAGUUUCCUGCUCCUGUACAAGGAACUGAAGAAGACAAUAGGGGCCACUCAUUCUUCUUCUGCAGUCACUGAGGAGGAGGAAGAGAGAAAUGGAGAAAGCACCACACAUGACAGAUGCUGCUCAAGAUGCUCAGCACACUACUGAAAGAUGCUCUGUAACUGU